rnacentral:rRNA from 1 species
GCCCAGACUCCUACGGGAGGCAGCAGUGGGGGAUAUUGCACAAUGGGGGAAACCCUGAUGCAGCGACGCCGCGUGAGUGAAGAAGUAAUUCGUUACGUAAAGCUCUAUCAGCAGGGAAGAAAAUGACGGUACCUGACUAAGAGGCCCCGGCUAACUACGUGCCAGCAGCCGCGGUAAUACGUAGGGGGCAAGCGUUAUCCGGAAUUACUGGGUGUAAAGGGAGCGCAGACGGCAGUGCAAGUCUGGAGUGAAAGCCCGGGGCCCAACCCCGGGACUGCUCUUGGAACUGCGCGGCUGGAGUGCAGGAGGGGCAGGCGGAAUUCCUGGUGCAGCGGUGAAAUGCGUAGAUAUCAGGAGGAACACCGGUGGCGAAGGCGGCCUGCUGGACUGCGACUGACGUUGAGGCCCGAAAGCGUGGGGAGCAAACAGGAUUAGAUACCCCGUAAC